rnacentral:lncRNA from 1 species
UUUAAUGUCACGUGGCUCUCACAGCUGGGGAAACUGAGUUACAGAGCUUUUCUGCACUGAGUCAUCAGGAGCAAAUGCUAGAUCAGAUAGAGUCUCUCUCUCUGCCACCCAGGCCAGAGUGCAGUUGACGCAGGGCAGGGGAGCCCCGAAGUGGAGCAUAGUGUGUCCGGAACUGGUGGGUUCUUGGUCUCCCUGACUUCAAGAAUGAAGCCACGGACCCUCGGGGUGGUACCGUAAGAUCAAACGCCAUCGCCGUGGGUUGAUAUAGUGCCUUGC